AUUGAACGCUGGCGGCAUGCCUUACACAUGCAAGUCGAACGGCAGCACGGGAGCAAUCCUGGUGGCGAGUGGCGAACGGGUGAGUAAUAUAUCGGAACGUGCCCAGUCGUGGGGAUAACGUAGCGAAAGCUACGCUAAUACCGCAUACGAUCUAUGGAUGAAAGCGGGGGAUCGCAAGACCUCGCGCGAUUGGAGCGGCCGAUAUCAGAUUAGGUAGUUGGUGAGGUAAAGGCUCACCAAGCCGACGAUCUGUAGCUGGUCUGAGAGGACGACCAG
rnacentral:rRNA from 1 species